rnacentral:rRNA from 1 species
CAAUAGCGUAUAUUUAAGUUGCUGCAGUUAAAAAGCUCGUAGUUGGAUUUCGGGUGGGAAUGGCCGGUCCGCCGUUUCGGUGUGCACUUGCUACGCCCACCUUGCUGCCGGGGACGUGCUCUUGAGUUCACGCUCGGGACACGGAGUCGGCGAGGUUACUUUGAGUAAAUUAGAGUGUUCAAAGCAGGCCUACGCUCUGACUACAUUAGCAUGGAAUAACACGAUAGGACUCUGGCCUAUCUUGUUGGUCUGUAGGACCGGAGUAAUGAUUAAGAGGGACAGUCGGGGGCAUUCGUAUUUCAUUGUCAGAGGUGAAAUUCUUGGAUUUAUGAAAGACGAACUACUGCGAAAGCAUUUGCCAAGGAUGUUUUCAUUAA